UACGUAGGUGGCAAGCGUUGUCCGGAUUUACUGGGCGUAAAGAGCGCGCAGGCGGUCGUAUAAGUCGAAUGUGAAAGCCCCCGGCUCAACUGGGGAGGGUCAUUCGAUACUGUUCGACUCGAAGGCAGGAGAGGGAAGUGGAAUUCCGGGUGUAGUGGUGAAAUGCGUAGAUAUCCGGAGGAACACCAGUGGCGAAGGCGACUUACGUGCCUGUUCUUGACGCUGAGGCGCGAAAGCUAAGGGGA
rnacentral:rRNA from 1 species